GAUGAACGCUAGCGGGAGGCCUAACACAUGCAAGCCGAGCGGUAUUGUUUCUUCGGAAAUGAGAGAGCGGCGUACGGGUGCGUAACACGUGUGCAACCUGCCUUUAUCUGGGGGAUAGCCUUUCGAAAGGAAGAUUAAUACUCCAUAAUAUAUUGAACGGCAUCGUUUAAUAUUGAAAGCUCCGGCGGAUAGAGAUGGGCACGCGCAAGAUUAGCUAGUUGGUGAGGUAACGGCUCACCAAGGCGAUGAUCUUUAGGGGGCCGGAGAGGGUGAUCCCCCAAACGGGUACUGAGACACGGACCAGACUCCUACGGUAGGCAGCAGUGAGGAAUAUUGGGCAAUGGGUGCAAGCCUGAACCAGCCAGCCCGCGUGAAGGACGACUGCCCUAUGGGUUGUAAACUUCUUUUGUAUAGGGAUAAACCUACCCUCGUGAGGGUAGCUGAAGGUACUAUACGAAUAAGCACCGGCUAACUCCGUGCCAGCAGCCGCCGUAA
rnacentral:rRNA from 1 species